AAUUGGUUGAGAGCUAUUGCCGCUUCCCUGAUGAGCCCAUGGCAGGGCGAAACCAGUG
rnacentral:hammerhead_ribozyme from 10 species